rnacentral:tRNA from 1 species
GGUGAAGUCAGCUAAACAAGCUCCCGGGUCCAUACCCCGAACAUGACGGUCAUAAUCCCUCCUUCACCA